rnacentral:lncRNA from 1 species
AAUAGUUAAAGCAAGAAGAUGAUUGGGUGGCUUUAUGUCUGGGUCUUUGCAUAAAGAGUCCUGUUCAGGACACUGGUUGGCAGAGUCCCUUGGGAGGUGGUUCUGAAGGGCGGAGGAGUCCAGGAAGGCUGGGCUCUCUUAAUCUCUUCAAGAAGGAAAUCUUCAAGAAGGAAAUCUUAAUGGCUCAGGAGCAGUCUGUCCCCACGUGCCCAAAGACAAGCCAGUGCGGAAGACCGGCCUGGCUGAACAAAGAGUUGUGGCUUGAGCUUAGGAGAAAAAAGAGGGUUUAUAAUCUUUGGAAAAGAGGGCGGGCCACUCAGGAGGACUAUAAGGAUGUUGCGAGGCUGUGCAGGGACAAAAUUAGAAAGGCCAAAGCUCAUCUGGAGCUCAAUCUGGCUACUGCCAUUAAAGAUAAAAAAUGUUUUUAUAAAUACAUCAGCACAAAAAGGAGGACUAAGGAGAAUCUCCAUCCUUUACUGGAUGUGGGGGGAAACUUAAUUACAAGAGAUGAGGAAAAGGCUGAGGUGCUUAAUGCCUUCUUUGCCUCAGUCUUUAGCAGCAAUACCAGUUUUUCUCUCGAUACCCAGUACCCUGAGAUGGUGGAAGGCGAUGGGGAGCAGAAUGUGGCCCUCAUAAUCCACGAGGAAAUGGUUGGUGACCUGCUACAGCACUUGGAUGUACACAAGUCGAUGGGGCCUGAUGGGAUCCACCCGAGAGUACUGAGAGAACUGGCGGAGGAGCUGGCGAAGCCACUUUCCAUCAUUUAUCGGCAGUCCUGGCUAUCAGGGGAGGUCUUAGUCGACUGGCGGCUAGCAAACGUGACGCCUACCUACAAGAAGGGCCAGAGGGUAGACCCAGGGAACUAUAGGCCUGUUAGUUUGACCUCAGUGCCAGGGAAGCUCAUGGAGCAGAUUAUCUUGAGUGUCAUCACGCGGCACUUACAGGGCAACCAGGUGAUCAGGCCCAGUCAGCAUGGGUUUAUGAAAGGCAGGUCAUGCUUGACGAACCUGAUCUCCUUCUACGACAAAGUAACACGCUUAGUGGAUGAGGGAAAGGCUGUGGAUGUGGUCGACCUUGAUUUCCGUAAGGUUUUUGACACCAUUUCCCACAACAUUCUCCUCAAGAAACUGGCUGCUCAUGGCUUGGACAGGCGUACGCUUCUUUGGGUUAAAAACUGGCUGGAUGGCCGGGCCCAAAGAGUUGUGGUGAAUGGAGUCA